CCUACGGGAGGCAGCAGUGAGGAAUAUUGGUCAAUGGGCGAGAGCCUGAACCAGCCAAGUCGCGUGAAGGAUGACGGCCCUACGGGUUGUAAACUUCUUUUGUCAGGGAGCAAUUGGUUCCACGCGUGGGCUUAGCGAGAGUACCUGAAGAAAAAGCAUCGGCUAACUCCGUGCCAGCAGCCGCGGUAAUACGGAGGAUGCGAGCGUUAUCCGGAUUUAUGGGGUUUAAAGGGUGCGUAGGCGGAAUAUCAAGUCAGCGGUAAAAAUUCGGGGCUCAACCCCGUCGUGCCGUUGAAACUGAUGUUCUUGAGUGGGCGAGAAGUAUGCGGAAUGCGUGGUGUAGCGGUGAAAUGCAUAGAUAUCACGCAGAACUCCGAUUGCGAAGGCAGCAUACCGGCGCCCAACUGACGCUGAAGCACGAAAGCGUGGGUAUCGAACAGGAUUAGAUACCCGAGUAGUC
rnacentral:rRNA from 1 species